UGUUAAAAAUUUCAUUCAUUUGUACUGUUAAAAACUGACAUACCUUAUGGAAUAACCAAAUAGUGGCAUGUCACGUGUACCUCAUAUUGAUGUACAAUAAUCAAUUUUUAAUAGUAGAAAUGAAUGAAAUUUUUAACU
rfam:Gossypium arboreum cultivar AKA8401 contig_1872_7, whole genome shotgun sequence.